UACGGAGGGUGCAAGCGUUGUUCGGAAUCACUGGGCGUAAAGGGCGUGUAGGCGGUCCGCUAAGUCUGAUGUGAAAGCCCGAGGCUUACCCUCGGAAGUGCAUUGGAGACUGGCGGACUGGAGUCCCGGAGAGGAGGGUGGAAUUCCUGGUGUAGCGGUGAAAUGCGUAGAUAUGCGGAGGAACACCGAUGGCGAAGGCAAUCCCCUGGGCCUGCACUGACGCUCAUGCACGAAAGCGUGGGGAGCAAACAGG
rnacentral:rRNA from 1 species